ACCAAACGCGGCUCUGGCCGGCUCUUGACUGAUAAUAGAGCGGACCGUGUAACGAUAUAACGGGGCGCCGACGUACAGUAAAACAACGCCCGACGGCGCAGGCAGGCGGUGCACAGAGGAACAGAAUAAAAUGGGGAGGAAGGGAUAUGUGUCCCCACCGACGACUGACAGAGUGCAACCGGAGGGUUGUGAACCUCUUCCGACUUUCAUGUGAUCUCUCUCUCUCUUUCCCUCUCUCUCUCUCUUUUUAUACUCAAGUAGAAAAAGAGGGUGACUACUAUACUGCAUCCAAAUGAGAGAGGGGAGAACGUGCAGAGAUUCACGUCCCCCCUUACUUUUCGUGAGUCAAAAAUAGGUUUUAGACGAAAGGCCAGCAGAAAAACGAAGCACUUUUUCCUUCGUGCUUUAAACUGAUCGAAUGUGUCUCUCCUCGUCUUUCCCCCCUCAGCUGGUUCAGCUGGGAAGACACCUACACAGCUUUGACUUCUGCCCCAAAAUGGUUUCUUGUGUACAGUUCAAGUAGCAACAGAAAAUCAGUCCAAAAAGGACUUUAGUUGUUUCCAACCAUUCGACAGCUCUAAACUACGUCGUUAAAUUAUCCACAAAUCAUUAUUGUUAGUGAAACGGACGCUCUUUCAUUUUACACGGAUAUCUCGAAACUAUGCGAAAUUGAGGCUCUGUCACAGGGACCUGCCAGUGGCUUCGUGUUGUAUCUACGUGCGAGCAGCACGUCGUACAACUUUUUUCCGAUAACGUAAGCUCGUCAUACGAGACACACGUUAGGUUAUUUAUAAACUCGGCCAUGGAAAUAUUUUCUUGUUUUAGUUCUUUUUCAUUCUUUUUGGUUGGCGUUCAUCGCGUUACUUGUUGGCCUGGUUCGAACCACAGAUGAGGAACAAAAGAACGAGAAGCAACGGCUUAAAAAGAAUUGAGCAAAACAAUAACAAGAACAACACGGCUGGCUGCUGGGUUUUGUUUAUCCUCUGUCAAGACUCGAUCCAUCACAGUUUCCGUCUCCACUAUUUUCCCAACUUGCAUCGCAGAAAAUGGAAUGUACUAUGGCAAAGAUUGGAGAGCCGAUCAAUUUUUGUUUGCAUUUAACAGCAUCCAGUUUCUUUCUUUAAUCGGUUGCUACAUUGAAAGAAAGAUUUUUCGGUUGACCUCCCAGAUACGGGAACUGGUAAAGAUAACAAAGAAAAAGAACAUGGAGCUUACAAGAUGGAAGGUUUGUCGCUGUUGGUUUGUUCCAUGGACGAUUGGAGAGGAACCAAAUCAACGACAGAAGCAUCACGAACCGGUGGUCAAUCGACUAUUGAGUUUGCACACUGCCAAUGCAUACAACUGUACUCCAAUUGCCAUUACCGAAUUGCUACGGCUCUACGAUAACUACAACCUACGGAACUACAAAAGAACUACAACGACAACAAAUGUGGACGCUUUAGCAAGGCCAGUAAUCAAUAGGCGCUAAAUUUGCAAACACUCAACAACGACGAAGAAGAGAAACAAAGUGAAGCCUUUGCGAAACUGGCAGCUGUGCAGGAACGUGAGCGCUUUGGCGCAUCGACGAAAGGCGCGACCGCUUGUUUUUCGCUUAUUUUAUUAACGCCUUUUUCUUACUGGCUAGCUAUAAAUAAUUAAGGAGGAGAGAAAAUGAGAGAGAGAGAGAGGGAAAGUCGUGGAUGCGGCGGAAGAGACGGGUGGCCGCCAGCUGCUAGGGCGGGUCCAGUUUAGAUAUCGGAGCGUUUCGACCGACAUUCUUUGGCAAAACUAUGAUGUCAAUCGGCGUCGAGCAAGAGGCUCCGUUUGACACGGUAUUCCUUGCGAUCGGCAGUUGUGAAAAUGACGAAUUGAACCGGAACGGAAGAGUUGACAGAAUUUUUUUAGACGGACAUACCGGCAGAUGCAGAAGAAGAAGUCCAGGACGAAAGCUGUGGCGGUGAUUCAAGCUGGUAGUCGUCCUCGUCGUCGGCCAUCUUUGACGUUCACCACAGCAGCACAGUAGCCGUGUAGCUAUAGCUGCGCUGAUUCGAGGAUCCUCCUAAAAAUUCCCCAGCUGGGAUUCUUGUCGGUAUCUCGCAUUGAGUGGCGAUGUGAGUUACGAUAAAGCAAACCGCCUCGAAAAGUGAUGUCACUAACAGUUCGUACACAGGUAGAAUUCCAGCUGUAUAUUUACAAUCUAUUUUGAUCGAAACGCUGGUGAAGAUAAGGUAUCGUGGAACUCGCCGAACUUUCCAAGACGCUUUGAGUGUAUACAAUCCCGUCAUUACAACAGAACUUUCUACUGUAUUGAUCACGUUACAACGCGCAUGAUCCGAAUAAAACACAUCCGUCAGA